rnacentral:sRNA from 1 species
CUGAGUCAGCUGGAUCACCCCUGCCAUCUGCUCUCAGUGUGGGGCUGGGUGUCCCUGCACCGUGGAACAAGGGCAGGUCGUGUCUUCCCGGAAGGCCCAGCACGGGUGAAGAUUUGGGGGCAGAUUUAUACCAACAUACACUGGUCUAUACAUUGGAUAUGUGCAGGUUCCCAUUCGUUUCCUGGGGAGCCACGUGUCCCUGAGGCCAGAGAGUGUCCUCACCCAGCUCAGACUGAAUGCUUUUGUUUUUGUUUCAGGGCAUUUGCACGCCAAAGGCAAAGAAGAAAAAAUGUCCAAAUCAUUAAAGAACUACAUUACUAUUAAGCCAUCGACUACAGUGACAGCGCCAUGCUCCAAGCUCAGCAGCUGCUCCUGGGGCUGGGCUCUUUCCUGGAGGAUGCACGUGCCUACAUGAAGGGGCAGCUGGCCUGCGGCUCCGUCAGGGAAGCGAUGCUGUGGGAGAGGCUCUCCAGCACCAAGAGGGCCGUGAAGGCGGCCUUGGCAGAUGACUUUGACACACCCAGGGUGGUUGAUGCCAUCCUGGGCCUUACACACCACGGGAAUGGACAGCUCAGGGCGUCCCUGAAGGAACCUGGAGGGCCGAGAAGUCCUGCUGUGUUUGGUGCCAUCAUCUCUUACUUUGAACAGUUUUUUGAAACUGUUGGAAUUUCUCUGGCAAAUCAACAGUUGGCAAACUCUCGUGCGCAGAACCAGAGAUGAGUCCAUCUCAGCAACAGAGUGUCGCCAGCUCUGCACACACGUUUAUGUUCAAAGACUCUCAGAAUGUGCAGAAGUCACAGGCACAGUAAGAGAACAUUUUUCCUGACCCAUUUGAGGGCAAGUUGGCGACCUGAGCCCCCUUGCCUGGCACGCUUUGUACGGACAGGACGGGCUCCCCGACAGGCACGAGUCACCUGCACCUUCCCAGCGAGGCUCACCCUGGCUGUGCAGUGAAGGUGGACGCUGCCAGGCUUCUCCACAUUCCUUCUCUUCCCUUGUAACUCAAGAGCGUUUUUGCAGAGAGACUUGGAUCCUAUGAAAAUGUCCUCUUCCUUACCAGGCUCACCUAAAACUCGUUUAUUGUAUCAAUACAGAUUUGAGGUUUCCUGCCUUAUUCUUAAAGUCCCCCACCAUCACUUUGUAUGUGGCUGAUGGAGGCCCCUUGGGGCUGGCGCUGUGUCCUUGAACAUCCCUGUCAUUCUUUGGACACCCUUGUAGAAUUCUCAGCACAAGGCGCUCUGGCUCUUUUGGGGUGUGGCUCGGCUGCUGCUGCCUGGACGGGGGCUGCCACUCUAGACCAGCUGCCCGGCACCCCAAGGGUCCCGCCGCUUGGGACUGGGGCCCGAGCAGGUGUGCUGAAGGCCUGGCUCUGGGCCAAACACGUCUCGCUGGCUCUCAACAGAGAACUAUAGUGUCUUUUCCAAGUUUGGCUCAUUUGUAUACCUGUUGAUCACCUGGCAGACUUAGUUCCCCUUUCCAGCAGUCCGGCGUCUGUUGCCAAUCACAUAAAAGUCGACUGGUGUGAGAUGACCCAAGUUUUUGCAAUGUACAUGUUCAUUUUUAGGGGCGGCUUUCCAGAGUCUGUUUUGAGUAAGAAAAGUGGGAUCUGGCCAAGCUCUGCCUAGCCCUUGUCAAAGAUAUCUCAUUCAUCUUCCUCCGGCCGCAAGGCCCAAUGUCUGGGCCCACUCUGGGCUCAUAUUUUUGUAAUAACAAAAAUUGUCUUUUAUCGUGGAAGCAAUAACUGAGGGGUGUAUGAGGGUUAAGUAGUUUGACACCAAGGUCAAAUGUUGUGUCUGUUUCUUAUUUUACACACAUGGAUUUAACAAAUAGGUACAGCUGCCCCUUCCACACCGCCCCAGGAUCUAUUCUCAGUGGGAGGGCAGCGCGAGGCCUUCUGCGCAAAUCCCGUCCUCAGCACCUGAGGCUGUGAAUCUCAGACCAUUUGCCGAAACACGCGUGUGCAAGUGCUCAGUCGCUGCCCCCCAGCCUUAUCCUCAGGUUGCUCCUGAUACCUCGGCCACAAUUGCGUGGGGUCUGGAACCCAGGGAGCGUUUGUGUUCAGGGCGGGGCGGCGUGCAGCCCCCAGCCCUUCCUUCCAACUCCCGAGUGAGCAUCACUCAGCCUUGCUUGGACGACAGAUGCUCAGAGUUGAGAGUGGAGACUUGCCCAGAGCCCAGCGCUUGCGGGCCGUACCCAUCCCUGCCAGACUCAGAAAGAGGCCCAGCUGUAGGGAAUCAGGGAAGCCCAGGGCUGGGUGGGUCUCGGCCCAGAGCCCAACCACGGGGUGGGGAGGGGGGCAUCCACAGUCUCCAGGGGAUGUAACCAUGCCCUGCUGGCUUCAGUACGUUUCAGGAGACGGCAGCGAGGCUACCUUGCAUGGUGUGGUGGACGAGCUGGUGCGGUUCCGGCAGAAGGUCCGGCAGUUUGCGCUGGCCAUGCCCGAGGCCACGGGGGACGCCCAGCGGCAGCAGCUCCUAGAAAGGCAGCCCCUGCUGGAAGCAUGCGACACCCUGCGCCGGGGCCUGACUGCCCACGGCAUCAACAUCAAGGACAGAAGCAGUACAACAUCCACGUGGGAACUGCUGGAUCAAAGGACAAAAGACCAAAAAUCAGCGGGCUGAUGAUGGAGCACAGCCAUGAACCUGCUCACGACAAGACGCACCCAUGCUUCUCACGGUCAAGGCUUUAUGUUGAAGCUUCCUGUCGGGGCUGCUAGGUCAGCAUUAAAGUAAGGCAACCAA